GAUGAACGCUGGCGGCGUGCCUAAUACAUGCAAGUCGAGCGAACAGACGAGGAGCUUGCUCCUCUGACGUUAGCGGCGGACGGGUGAGUAACACGUGGAUAACCUACCUAUAAGACUGGGAUAACUUCGGGAAACCGGAGCUAAUACCGGAUAAUAUAUUGAACCGCAUGGUUCAAUAGUGAAAGACGGCUUUGCUGUCACUUAUAGAUGGAUCCGCGCCGCAUUAGCUAGUUGGUAAGGUAACGGCUUACCAAGGCGACGAUGCGUAGCCGACCUGAGAGGGUGAUCGGCCACACUGGAACUGAGACACGGUCCAGACUCCUACGGGAGGCAGCAGUAGGGAAUCUUCCGCAAUGGGCGAAAGCCUGACGGAGCAACGCCGCGUGAGUGAUGAAGGUCUUCGGAGCGUAAAACUCUGUUAUUGGGGAAGAACAAAUGUGUAAGUAACUAUGCACGUCUUGACGGUACCUAAUCAGAAAGCAACGGCUAACUACGUG
rnacentral:rRNA from 1 species